UACGUAGGUGGCAAGCGUUGUCCGGAUUUAUUGGGCGUAAAGGGAGCGCAGGCGGUGACUUAAGUCUGAUGUGAAAGCCCACGGCUCAACCGUGGAAGGUCAUUGGAAACUGGGUCACUUGAAUAUAGAAGAGGAAAGUGGAAUUCCAUGUGUAGCGGUGAAAUGCGUAGAGAUAUGGAGGAACACCAGUGGCGAAGGCGGCUUCCUGGUCUGUAACUGACACUGAGGCGCGAAAGCGUGGGGAGCAAACAGGAUUAGAUACCCU
rnacentral:rRNA from 1 species